GUCGAACGGAAAGGCCCUUCGGGGUACUCGAGUGGCGAACGGGUGAGUAACACGUGGGUGAUCUGCCCUGCACUUUGGGAUAAGCCUGGGAAACUGGGUCUAAUACCGAAUAGGACCGCAUGCUUCAUGGUGUGUGGUGGAAAGCUUUUGCGGUGUGGGAUGGGCCCGCGGCCUAUCAGCUUGUUGGUGAGGUAAUGGCUUACCAAGGCGACGACGGGUAGCCGGCCUGAGAGGGUGACCGGCCACACUGGGACUGAGAUACGGCCCAGACUCCUACGGGAGGCAGCAGUGGGGAAUAUUGCACAAUGGGCGCAAGCCUGAUGCAGCGACGCCGCGUGAGGGAUGACGGCCUUCGGGUUGUAAACCUCUUUCGCCAGGGACGAAGCGCAAGUGACGGUACCUGGAGAAGAAGGACCGGCCAACUACGUGCCAGCAGCCGCGGUAAUACGUAGGGUCCGAGCGUUGUCCGGAAUUACUGGGCGUAAAGAGCUCGUAGGUGGUUUGUCGCGUUGUUCGUGAAAACUCACAGCUUAACUGUGGGCGUGCGGGCGAUACGGGCAGACUUGAGUACUGCAGGGGAGACUGGAAUUCCUGGUGUAGCGGUGGAAUGCGCAGAUAUCAGGAGGAACACCGGUGGCGAAGGCGGGUCUCUGGGCAGUAACUGACGCUGAGGAGCGAAAGCGUGGGGAGCGAACAGGAUUAGAUACCCUGGUAGUCCACGCCGUANACGGUGGGUACUAGGUGUGGGUUUCCUUCCUUGGGAUCCGUGCCGUAGCUAACGCAUUAAGUACCCCGCCUGGGGAGUACGGCCGCAAGGCUAAAACUCAAAGAAAUUGACGGGGGCCCGCACAAGCGGCGGAGCAUGUGGAUUAAUU
rnacentral:rRNA from 1 species